rnacentral:rRNA from 11 species
GGUUGAGAAACACUGUGCUAAAGGCUCUAGAUCCCAUUUGAUUUUUAUCAGCUAAAUAGGGUCACUCCUGGUUUGUACUUGGAUGGGAAACCAUCAACAAAUACUUUGUGCUGCAGGCU